UUUAAUGGAGAGUUUGAUCCUGGCUCAGGACGAACGCUGGCGGCGUGCCUAAUACAUGCAAGUCGAGCGAGGGUCUUCGGACCCUAGCGGCGGACGGGUGAGUAACACGUAGGCAACCUGCCUGUAAGACUGGGAUAACAUAG
rnacentral:rRNA from 1 species